AGAAACAGAAGGUCGAGGGAGGA
rnacentral:piRNA from 1 species